GCAGUCGUGGCCGAGUGGUUAAGGCGAUGGACUUGAAAUCUAUUGGGUUGUACCCGCGCAGGUUCGAAUCCUGCCGACUGAGUGCA
rnacentral:tRNA from 1 species